AGUCGACGAAACUUCUUUAUCACCGAGUGCUUGCACUCACCGAUAAAGAGUUGAGUGGCGAACGGGUGAGUAACACGUGGGCAACCUGCCCAAAAGAGGGGGAUAACACUUGGAAACAGGUGCUAAUACCGCAUAACCAUAGUUACCGCAUGGUAACUAUGUAAAAGGUGGCUAUGCUACCGCUUUUGGAUGGGCCCGCGGCGCAUUAGCUAGUUGGUGGGGUAAAGGCUUACCAAGGCAAUGAUGCGUAGCCGAACUGAGAGGUUGAUCGGCCACAUUGGGACUGAGACACGGCCCAAACUCCUACGGGAGGCAGCAGUAGGGAAUCUUCCACAAUGGGCGAAAGCCUGAUGGAGCAACGCCGCGUGGGUGAAGAAGGUCUUCGGAUCGUAAAACCCUGUUGUUAGAGAAGAAAGUGCGUGAGAGUAACUGUUCACGUUUCGACGGUAUCUAACCAGAAAGCCACGGCUAACUACGUGCCAGCAGCCGCGGUAAUACGUAGGUGGCAAGCGUUAUCCGGAUUUAUUGGGCGUAAAGGGAACGCAGGCGGUCUUUUAAGUCUGAUGUGAAAGCCUUCGGCUUAACCGGAGUAGUGCAUUGGAAUCUGGGAGACUUGAGUGCAGAAGAGGAGAGUGGAACUCCAUGUGUAGCGGUGAAAUGCGUAGAUAUAUGGAAGAACACCAGUGGCGAAAGCGGCUCUCUGGUCUGUAACUGACGCUGAGGUUCGAAAGCGUGGGUAG
rnacentral:rRNA from 1 species